GUGCUCGCUUUGGCAGCACACAGACUAUAAUUGGAGCCAUACAGAGAAAGUUAGCAUGGCCCCUGUGCAAAGAGGACAUGCCAAUUCGUGAAGUAUUCCAUAUUUUU